UACAUGUGGGGCAAGCGUUGUUCGGAAUUACUGGGCAUAAAGGGUGCGUAGGCGGCUUGUUAAGUCAGGGGUGAAAGUUUUCGGCCCAACCGGAAAAUUGCCUUUGAUACUGGCGAGCUUGAGUGCGUGAGGGGUAACCGGAACGAGUCGUGUAGCGGUGAAAUGCGUAGAUAUGACUCGGAAGGCAACGGCGAAGGCAGGUUACUGGUACGCAACUGACGCUGAGGCACGAAAACGUGGGGAGCAAACAGG
rnacentral:rRNA from 1 species